GAUGAACGCUGGCGGCGUGCUUAACACAUGCAAGUCGAACGGGAUCCAAGGGGUGCUUGCACUUUUUGGUGAGAGUGGCGAACGGGUGAGUAACACGUGAGUAACCUGUCCUUUUCUUUGGGAUAAGCAUUCGAAAGGGGGUUUAAUACCUUAUGUUCUGUCUGCCUCUCAUGCGGUGGUUGAGAAAGGCUUUGGUCGCACUUGGGUGGGCUCGCGGUCUAUCAGCUUGUUGGUGGGGUGAUGGCUUAUCAAGGCUUGGAAGUGUAGACGGCCUGAGAGGGUGGUGGGUCAGAGUGAGAGUGAGAACUGGCACAGAGUGCAGCGGGAGGGAGCAGUGGGGGAUAUUGGAAAAUGGGCGAAAGCAAGAUGCAGCGAGGCAGCGUGGGGGAUGGAGGGCUUAGGGUUGUAAACUUGUUUUGCUCUGAGCGAGGGAUGCCAGUGAGUGUGUUGAGUGUAGGGGUUGGUUAGCGCCGGCUAACUACGUG
rnacentral:rRNA from 1 species